rnacentral:tRNA from 1 species
GGAGGGAUGGCCGAGCGGUCGAAGGCGCACGCCUGGAAAGUGUGUAUACGCCAAAAGCGUAUCGUGGGUUCGAAUCCCACUCCCUCCGCCA